GAAGCAGAGUGUCAAUCAGCUGCAAAAUUGCAAUCUUGAUCAUUUCAUAUGCAUUGAUACGCCUAUGGACGAUGUCUUUCACAACGCUUUAUUUUGCAGUUUUUCAAGAACGUACAAACGAAUUAAACUCGACUGUAGAUUCAUCCCCAUUUGCCUCCGUGUCCCCCACGGGUUAGGAUUUCCCUGCAAUUCGUCUGUCCGUGAAGCAGACUCUCUGGGUUUUCCUUUGGAACUGCAGGGCCAAGAGAUGCUGAAAAGACAUUGCGACCGCAAAGCUAACGAGGAGUACAGUUGACGCACACAGGAUUCCUUGGGAUUUUUACGACGCUGCUGCGACAAGCAGAGGCUUAUGGUGUUAGCUAGUGGCUAAGGCGGCGAUAGCAGCAGCGCGAAUGUCAGAUCGACUCAUGAAGACUUGACGCGUCACCCACGAUGAGUCAACUCGUGCUUGAAAGCGUCCUAAAGCUACAGCCGAGGCUGUAUCGGCGUGUUGUGCCAAGGCGAAGGUUGGACACAGCGAGAAGAGGCGCGACGAGCGAACGUAGGACUUAGUUGGACAAGCGAGCACUGCAGAUCAAGGCGAGCUGCGAUGGAAAAGAAGCGAGCAAAGGAGCAGAUCAAAUAACGCAGAUUAUUAUUAACCAAGAGCAGAUUAAAAGUUCUCGCGCCAGGAAGUCGAGACCGGAAGCAGUCGAGCAGACGACGCGCGCGCCUUCGGCCAUCCACAGAGCGGCCGUGUUUGUCCGUGUGUAUGUUUCUGUUUGCCCUUUUUUACGGAACAUUAACUUUGCAUAUCCUCUACUUCGCCCGAGGGCAGCUACUACUACAGCGACCGACAGUACUGCUUCUGUCGCUACCUUCACAAGAACCACAGCCGCCGCGACCGAUUCCUCUCGCUGCAUCCGUCCAAAACCGACAUUCGUAUCGCCGCAAACGUGCGACUAAGCAAACCGUGACACUGUGCAUUUCGUCGUCCUAUUCGUCCUCACGCUCGAUGCCUAGAGGGUAAGGAGCGGCUUGCGUACGAGCCUGUAAA